UCGACUGUUUAUCAAAAACAUAUUUAAUAGUUAUUAUUAUUAAUAAUACCUGCUCAAUGAUUUUUAAAUAGCCGCAGCUCAUACUGUGCUAAGGUAGCAUAAUCAUUUGUCUUUUAAUUAAAGACUAGAAUGAAUGGUUUAAUAUUUAAUUUAUUCUUUUUAAAAUUUAAAUUAAACUUAUUUUAAAUGUAAAAAAACAUUUAUCUAUUAGAUAGACAACAAGACCCUAUUAAACUUUACUUUAGUUUAACUGGGGAAGUUAAUUAAUAAAUAUUUUAAUAUAAUUCUUUAUAAAAAUGACCUAAUUCAAUUCAUUAAAUGAUCAAGUUACUAUAGGGAUAACAGCAUAAUUACUUUCAAUAGCUCUUAUAUAAAAAUUUGAUUAUGACCUCGAUGUUGAAUUAAUAUAUCUAUUAAGCGCAACAUCUUAAUAAGAAAGUCUGUUCGACUUGUAAAUUAUUACAUGAUUUGAGUUCAGACCGGUGUAAACCAGGUCGGUU
rnacentral:rRNA from 1 species